rnacentral:rRNA from 1 species
UACGAAGGGGGCUAGCGUUGCUCGGAAUCACUGGGCGUAAAGGGUGCGUAGGCGGGUCUUUAAGUCAGGGGUGAAAUCCUGGAGCUCAACUCCAGAACUGCCUUUGAUACUGAGGAUCUUGAGUUCGGGAGAGGUGAGUGGAACUGCGAGUGUAGAGGUGAAAUUCGUAGAUAUUCGCAAGAACACCAGUGGCGAAGGCGGCUCACUGGCCCGAUACUGACGCUGAGGCACGAAAGCGUGGGGAGCAAACAGGGAU